CCGGAGAACUUGGUGGUUAAGAGAGGGCAGUACAUAGGCCCUACUAUAAGAAGACAUUGACGGCCGAGAUAACUAUAACUAGUUUGUAUUUUGGUGGAAUCUCAGGUGCAGUCGACUUUACGUGAAGUUGAUAACUGAGAGUCGAUAGAUGAUUUGACUGAUUUGACUAAAUUUUCAUGUAACAGCUCUCAACUAUCAACUUCACGUGAAGUCGACUACAACUGAGUUUUCACCUUAUAUUUUAUAUAACACAAGUCACUCGUGUUUCAAAGUCAAUAAUAAUGUGACAUCUGCUUUCUAUUACUGCUAAUUGUACAUACUAUGACAUAUAUGAUGCCAC
rnacentral:lncRNA from 1 species